CUCCACAGGAGCAGGCUGGGGGGCUGAGGGCCAGGGGCCAAGAGGCUGCAGGAGGCCAGCCCGAGGCUGAGCCAGGCCCUGGGCCCUUCGGGAAGUGACCUGCAGACAGCCUGCCCUGAGGCUCAGAGACACACGUGUCCCCUCGGACAUACAGCACACACACAGACACACAACACACACACCUCACACACAGAUACACAUACACCACAGACACACAACACACACACCUCACAUACAGACACACACACACACAGACACACAAUACACACACCUCACAUACAGACACACAACACACACACACAGACACAUAACACACACACACCUCACACACAGACACACAUACACCACAGCCACACACCAUACAGACACACAACACACACAGACACACAACACACACACACAGACACAUAACACACACACACCUCACACACAGACACACAUACACCACAGACACACAACACACACACCUCACAUACAGACAUACCUCACACACAGACACACAUACCACACAGACACACAACACACACCACACACAGACACACAAUACACACACCUCACACACACACACACACCACACAGACACACAACACACACACCUCACACACAGAUACACAUACACCACAGACACACAACAGACACACCUCACACACACACACACCACACAGACACACAACACACACACCUCACAUACAGACACACACACACACAGACACACAAUACAUACCACACACAGACACAAUACACACACCUCACAUACAGACACACAACACACAUACAGACACACAACACACACACACCUCACACACAGACACACACACACCACAGCCACACACCAUACAGACACACAACACACACAGACACAAAACACACACACAUCACAUACAGACACACAACACACACGUCACAUACAGACACACAACACACGCACCUCACAUACAGACAACACACAGACACACACCACACACCACACACAUGGACACACAAAACACACAUUUCACACACAGACACACACAGACACAAAGCACACACACCUCACAUACAGACACACACCACACACAGACACACAAUACACACACCUCACAAGACACACAGCACACACCACACACAGACAUACACCAUACACCACAUACAUGGACACACAACACAUACACCUCACACACAGAAACACAAUACACAGCACACACACAGACACAGAAUACAUACACCUUACACAUGGACACACACCCCACACCCCACACACAGAUACACAAUACACACACCUCGCAUACAGACACCCAGCACACACC
rnacentral:lncRNA from 1 species